UCUGGGCAACAUGCUGCAGGGGUGGCCUUUUCUGUGCCAGGCUGCCUGCCUAUGUCUCAAUUUCUUUGUCUUCUGAUCCUCCUGGGAUCCCACCUCUGACUCAGGAAAGCCCCAGGAUCUGAGGAAAGCCAUGGCUGAUGGUGCAGACAUUCUGCCCGAGACAGGAGAUGACGGAGGCACGCCCAGCAGGAGCUGGCUCUGCAGGCUCUCACGUCCCACCUGUUUCCAGGUUGUGCCUGAGGCUCAGCCCACAAGAAGGAGAAAUACAGAAAAAGAAAAAACUCCAAUACUGAUGUUCUAGGAGUGCUUAGGAGCAGUGACACAGCUGGAGGCUGUCUGACAGCAGCUGACCCUCCAUGUCCAACUGGACGGACCUUACGCCUAAUUUAGAAGUUUCGGGAACAACAUGGCUUCUUGGAUCUGCAGCCUUUGCUUUGCAGGCUUCCCUGCUCUUCCAUGCCGGGCCUUCCUGCCCUACGACUCAGUGACACAAAGAGCUGCAACCUAAUCUCUGGCUCUGAGACAAAGGACCCCUUCAGCAUCCCGCCUUCCAAGGAGGCCCUCCACAGGGCCCCCUGAUCUCUCUCACCACCUGUCAGCUUACCCUGUAAGACUCUGACUCCAGAAACUGAUGCCCUGGCAGAACCUGUCCCUGCUAGGUGCCCAGUCACAUGCCACGCAAGUAACAGGCGAGUGGGAAGCACUCCCCCAGGUGCCUGGUGCAGGUACAGAGGGGGAACGGGGUGCAAACUGUAGAUGAGCUCGCACAGAGGACGCCCCGAGGACCCAGGGCCAGUGUCAAGAGCUGGUGUGCACAGGGGCCAAGCAAGUGAUGCCGCAGCUGAGCGUGUCAGCAGGCAAAGCGGAGAGGAAGAAGCAGGGCUCUCCAAAUAACCGAGCAGGCAGUGAACAGUCACUGAUUCUUCUUCACUCCAAGGAGAAGAGAGCUAUUGGCUAAAACACCAAUAAACUGGGGCAUCAGGAACCCAUCCGUGACUUGUUCACAUCAGAAAUGAAGCUUCGUGGAAAGCAGCGAGGAGCAGAACAGCAGCCGCUGGACCCAGCACAACACCCUGAAGGCCGUGGGACCUCACGGCUGAGACCCGCUGUUGGUGUCCAAGCAGUACAUUUCCUGCACUGAUACAGCACAAGGAGAUCCUCCCACGGUCUCCGGAAACCUCCCAGUUACAGCCUGAUAUGCCCUUAUGUCUGGUCUGGUGGUCAGCCCUGCUCUAAGUAAUCACAAACAAGAGACCCAAUUAGGCAGCAACUGUUUAAAAAAACCCAGUGUUGUCUGUACCUCCCACACAGGUUUGGGUCUCCCCGGAGGCUGAAGGUUCUCUGCACAAGGCGUGUGGGGUUCAGGGAGGAAAAGCGAGCUGGACUAGCCACUUUGACUUUGCUCUGCUCUGGGUGUGAAGUGAGGUUCAGCCCAACUGUUACCUCCAGGUAGUACAGCCUGAGUCAGAUCACAGGAGAGUGGGGAGGCGGACUGGACUGUGGAGACCUCUAGACGGAGCAGGUGUGGGGUGUGGGGAGAGGCACACCAUGCGAUGGUGGAGGGGACACAGGCACAUCCCAUGACCUUGAAAGAUUCUCGGGGAGAACUUGGUUGUACAGAUCGGCAGAUGGUGGCACCCUAUUAUGGGCCGAGAUACCACCCCAGGACUCUCACGCAAAGAUGUGUCUAGGAGGCCAGCUCUUUGCUUUCACUGACACCCAGGCUGAGGUGAGGCUCAUGGAUUUUGGGGAGUUAAGUGGCUGGAGCCAGUCAGACCUAUGCUCAGUCCCGAGCUCUAUCCUGAUCAGCUGUGAGCCUAUCAUGAGGUCAUCCCACCUCCCCGUGUCCCAGUCCUCACAUCUGAAAGAGGGAUAUCAGUCACUCCUCCCUCAUGGGGUUUUGUCAAGGUUCAGAAAGAUGGAGAGCUUCACCGGGGCUGGCACACCAUUAAUGCUCCAUAAAGGGCAGCCCUCUUCAUCGUUCCAUUCUCCAGGGACCCCUGGGAGAGAUGCUCCCAGCUCGGAGCUGGAUGCCUGGGGUGUGGGGGGGCUAUUCCUGACAGCAGCACUGUGGCAGCUCCUUCUCACCCAAAAAUAAUCACUGGGGACUCACCGUGGCUGCACAUUUUGUGUUCUGGAGGUGGGACUUUAGACAGAAAGACCCCAGAAGGGCCUAGCAGUUUCCUGUCUCAUCCUCAUGCUAUGAUGGCCACAUCAGGUGCCCACGGCCGUGCAGCCAAGUCCAGCACAGGGAGUGGCGAGGGGCACUUGCUCCUGCAUAGAUCCCGGAAACCCUCCCUGCGAGGCAGGCCAAGCUCCCUGGAGCUGCCUCUGUCAGGGGACCUGAGACCUGGCCAGCUCUGUCCCAAACCAGAGAGGACCUUUCCCUGACUCCAGGGGAAUGUUUUUUGCAUACGGACCCCUGUUCUUCUCGGGCUCCUCAGCCACCCCCAGAGGACACUUACUCGGCGUCUACUGCUCAAGGGCACAGGUCUGUCCUCAACUGCCAACAAGGAACCCAACUGGGAAGGUAACUUGAGACUCUCUGCUAUUUGCUACUUUUUCAAUAGCUUUUUUUUUUUUUCUUUUU